AAGUCGUAACAAGGUAACCGUAGGUGAACCUGCGGUUGGAUCAUUAACAAUUAUUAUUGAAUUCUCCCCCCCCCCACACCCCUUCACCGGGAGGGGGGGCGGUAGGUUCUCUAACACUUGUGUGCACUGUUUAUUGUCUCUCGGCGUUCGAGGGUUGGGGGUUGUCCCCAAGGAGCUAGCUUCCUUGGCCUCCCCCUUGGGCUUUUUUUACAAGCCUUGACCUACCCCUGAGCGUCAACUUAAACUUGAUUUUAUUUAUACUAUAAGCCUUUAAUUUUAAAUUUAUAAUUUGAAAACAACUUUUAACAACGGAUCUCUAGGCUCUCA
rnacentral:misc_RNA from 1 species